rnacentral:rRNA from 1 species
GUACACGCUGUGACUAGCAUAUCAAUAAGCGGAGGAAAAGAAACUAACAAGGAUUCCCUCAGUAACGGCGAGUGAAGCGGGAAGAGCUCAAAUUUGAAAUCUUGAAAGGUCACCUUUCACGAAUUGUAGUUUAAAGAAGUGUUUUCUGUUACGAUCGUAAUAUAGGUUCUUUGGAAUAGGACAUCACAGAGGGUGAGAAUCCCGUCUAUGAUUGCGAUUUGUAGCUUUGUGAUACACUUUCAAAGAGUCGGGUUGUUUGGGAAUGCAGCCCAAAACGGGAGGUAAAUUUCUUCUAAGGCUAAAUAUUGGCGAGAGACCGAUAGCGAACAAGUACCGUGAGGGAAAGAUGAAAAGAACUUUGAAAAGAGAGUUAAAUAGUACGUGAAAUUGUCAAAAGGGAAGCGUUUAACACCAGUGUUGUUUUCUGAAAAUCAACCUCUGUUAGCUUUAUGCAUGUUUGUUUAGACCUAAUCAGCUAUCUUGCAUGUUCUAUUGUUUGCAGUGGUGCACUUUUCAGUUUACAGGUCAACAUCAGUUUUUUUUACCGUAAAAAAGUUAAAGAAAGGUAGCUCAUGGCUCCGGUCGUGAGUGUUAUAGUCUUUUUCCUAUGCGGUAGGAGAGACUGAGGUCUGCAGUGUAGGCUAUUUGGCUAGAUACUCAGGUGCUAUGUGAUACCAUUUCAUAAACAACUUGUUGAUUAUGUUUUGUCUAUUGCAUACUCGCUUGUACUAUCAUACCUACGCUUAGGAUGUUGAACUACUGAGACAUAGA